UCUGUCCACAUGUAACACGCAGAGCUGCUUCAGAUUCAUUGUAAGUGUCACAUGCCUCCGGGUGGCAAGUUCUGGCACAAGCAUGCAUGCCACAACGCCUCGUCUUUCCACAAAUCUUGUUACAUCUGAUGUCUUUCAGCCCACAAGGUAUGUUUCUCAGAACCACGUGACCACCAACGCAUUUCUUUUCCACUGGGGCAGAACAAGGAGGGCAAUCUCCAAAAUGGCAUCCAUGCGUAGCAGAAUGGCCACAAGGCUGAGGAAUGGAGCAUGGAAGCUGGCAGCUAGGAACAGGCGUCCCGCAUGGUAGUGGUGGAGGAAUCGAAGUAUUUCCACACGCACAUGUUAGAUCAGUGAAUAUCAUCUCGAGGCAAGGAGGGCAAUGGCCACUAUGGCACAAAGAUUCACAGGAAUGCUGCCCGCACCUUAGCUUCUUCCCACAAGGUAAUUGGCAUACGUGUUCGUCCCAAUCACCGGAUAGAUCAUUCUUCUUCGCGUUCAAGAGAGGGCAGCAACGCUCACUACAUCUAUGUCUCCCACAAUUCUUCUUACGCCCACAUGGUUUAGAACACACAAACUUAUCCGUCUCUGAAGAAGUUGUUAUGUAGCAUUCCACAGUCCUGGAUGUCGAACCACACCGGCAUUUCUGGUUGACUUGCACUAAACAAGGAGGGCAAUCACCUGAAUGGCACAACUCGUUGCAAGUAUGUAAUCCACAAGGAAGAAGCUUACUGCAUAGGUUUGAGCAAGAAGGAAUUGGGUCCAAGCAACUCUGCCUGGUCUGUUCUUCUAGACGCGUUUUCCCACAAUAGCACGUCUUAACUCUACUCGUUGCUGAUCUCCACGCAGCGGCUUGAAUAUCUGUAGAUGAUCCUCCAAUGGGGGAAUCUUCAGCUCCCCAGUUCUCAUCACUCUCCUGAAUCACUGCUUUCUUCCAUGGAUUUGCUUUCUGUACAUCCCAGGAUGAGCUGCUAGGUAGUUUUCCCCAUGCAUUACCACCGAGUGAUGGAGAUUGCUGACCGUUCUGGACGACCACUGCUCCAUGGUAUACAGAACCGUGGUCCAGCCUCCUCAUGGCAGUGGCGGCUCGGGCAUGGUCGUGGAACACGGCCAAAGCGUUCUUGUCAUUCAGCCAAACAAGCUCACAUUCACCUCCAAAUCUCAGCACCAAAGCGCUGAUAUUCGCCUCCCUCGGGAGAUCCAGUAAUGACACCACCAGCCUAGGAUCCAUAUCCACCAGCGGAUCAAAGGACGGUGGGUGAGGCCCGCCUAGCGAGACAGCGCCACCCCUAGCUCCAAUGAUUCGUGUUGGCGGUUUUGACUUUUGUGUUACGUGGACCACUGUAAACCGUUUUGGCUCCCACCCUGCAUUGCUAACCGCAAGUUUCCAUCUCUCAGCUAGAAGUCUAACCGUGUCUCGUUUAUCCUUUUGCAUCGGGCAGAAUACAUGGACCUUAAGGGUGCUUGUGCUUCCUCUAGCCUUCCCAAGUACCAGGUACUUGAAGCGCUCUUCAACAGCCAGUACCCACUUAGGAUCACGCCUAUAGAUGUCCGAAAUAAUCUCUGUCAUAGCAGCAUUCUCGCUAAAAUGUAAAGAGUCCAGAUUUGGGGGAGUGAUAUCAAACGCGUCUUGAAGAACACGCUUACGCUCCAGUUUAGCACACUCAUCAUCACACGAAAGCUUUCGCUGCCCGAGAGGGAUUCGGCUUCCAUUCGACUCAACAGGCUGAAGCGAAGUUGGAAGCUUCUGCAAAACAGAGGCUUCAUAGAUAGAAUCAACACUAAGAUUGCUGGUACUUCCUCCUCCCGCAUCGCAAGGAACAGUAGCGGUUAUGCGACCACACGAACAUGUUAUUGUGACUGGAAAUUCACAUCUUGUGUCAGGGCAAGGCUGCGAAGGAUGGCAAAGAGCUGCACAAGUGUGCCUGCAAUCUCUUCUAGGAGCACUACAAGUCUGUCCACAUGUAACACGCAGAGCUGCUUCAGAUUCAUUGUAAGUGUCACAUGCCUCCGGGUGGCAAGUUCUGGCACAAGCAUGCAUGCCACAACGCCUCGUCUUUCCACAAAUCUUGUUACAUCUGAUGUCUUUCAGCCCACAAGGUAUGUUUCUCAGAACCACGUGACCACCAACGCAUUUCUUUUCCACUGGGGCAGAACAAGGAGGGCAAUCUCCAAAAUGGCAUCCAUGCGUAGCAGAAUGGCCACAAGGCUGAGGAAUGGAGCAUGGAAGCUGGCAGCUAGGAACAGGCG
rnacentral:lncRNA from 1 species